rnacentral:rRNA from 1 species
AUUGAACGCUGGCGGCAUGCUUUACACAUGCAAGUCGAACGGUAACAGGCCUUCGGGCGCUGACGAGUGGCGAACGGGUGAGUAAUGCAUCGGAACGUGCCCAGAGGUGGGGGAUAACGCAGCGAAAGCUGUGCUAAUACCGCAUAUUAUCUGAGGAUGAAAGCGGGGGACUAAGCAGCAAUGUUUGGCCUCGCGCCUUUGGAGCGGCCGAUGUCAGAUUAGGUAGUUGUGGGGUAAAGGCUCACCAAGCCAACGAUCUGUAGCUGGUCUGAGAGGACGACCAGCCACACUGGAACUGAGACACGGCCCAGACUCCUACGGGAGGCAGCAGUGGGGAAUCCUUUGGACAAAUGGGCGGCGAGACG